rnacentral:rRNA from 1 species
UACGUAGGAUGCAAGCGUUGUCCGGAAUUAUUGGGCGUAAAGAGCGAGCAGGCGGUUUGGAAAGUUGGACGUGAAAUCUUAGGGCUUAACCCUAAAGGGUCGUCCAAAACUCCCAGACUAGAGUGCAGGAGAGGAAAGCGGAAUUCCCGGUGUAGUGGUGAAAUGCGUAGAGAUGCGGAGGAACACCGAUGGCGAAGGCAGCCCCCUGGGCUGACACUGACGCUCAGGCACGAAAGCGUGGGGAGCAAACAGG